CACGCCGUAAACGUUGGGCACUAGGUGUGGGACCUUUCCAACGGGUUCCGUGCCGCAGCUAACGCAUUAAGUGCCCCGCCUGGGGAGUACGGCCGCAAGGCUAAAACUCAAAGGAAUUGA
rnacentral:rRNA from 1 species